AGGUACCGUUGGAAGAGUAAAAAACGCGUAAUUCUUCGACCGUGCGAUGUUACCAAGAGUGGUACGGAAGGGUAGCGUUAGGAGAAAGAGAGAAAGACAGAUAAAGAGAAAGAGGAGAGAAGGAUGAGCGGGAAGCUUAGCCAGGGUAGACCGUUAAUGGAUUUCUAGUUAUGUGAAAAAACCAUUAAAACGUUUGCUCGCUCUCGAAGAAAUUAAUUCCGAUUGCCGUUAUCGUGGGCAGCUUGAAAAAGAGAAGGAUCAGGGGCGAAGAGAGAGGGAUGCUGCUACUGCUCGAUGGUAGAAAGCGCAGGGCCACUAUUAUCGUUGACGUAUUUCUCUUGGAUCGAGAGAGAAAGAAAAAAGGGAAAGAGAUAGAGAGAAAGAGAGACAGAAAGAGAAAGAAAGAAAGAGAGAGAGGGAGAGAAAGUGCCGCUAGAGAAAGCCCGAGCUUUUCUUUUUUCAGAGAUUCGAACGGAUGGAAGAAGGAGUGGCGGAACGAGCGUUUCGUACACCGUAGUUUCGCGUGCUUGCACGAAAUAACCCGUAGAUGGCCUUUCGAGGGGUUGAAAAAGGAAAAAGGGAUCGUACGAUAUGGGCCCAUCCGGCCGAUCGCUUUUCUACUUGCCGUAAUCGAUAUUCUCCUUUUCUUCCGUUUCCUAGAGAAAAGGUGUGCUAGAGAAGAGAGAAAACGAUCUCUCUCUUUCUCUUUCUUAUUUCUUAUUUCUUUUUUCUUUCUUUUUUUUUUACUCAUCAUUCAUCUUGCUUUUUUUCUUUCCUUUAUUUCGCAAGACUUUGCGGUAAUGGGAAUUGUUAACGCGGUUGAAGGGUUAAAAGUAUACCAAUGGCGAGAGAAUUGGAAUUUUUUGUUAAGUUUGUUUUGUUUUAUUCCUUUUUCUUUUUUCUUUUUGGAGAAAAUAAAGAGAAAAGGCGAUAUGAAUACUUUGAAAUUAAACUAUUAUAUCGUAUGAAAGGAGAGAGGCUUUUAUUAUGAGAACUUUUAAAGAAUUUGAUUUUCUUUUUUUAUAAUUUGAAUGUAACGCUAAAGAUCACUGGGCGAACAGAGUUUAAUUAUGUUAUAUCAAAUUCCUGAGGAAGCGUAGUUCCCCCCCUUUCUCUCUCUCUCUCACAUACACACACACACACACACACACACACACACACACACUUUCUCUCUCUCACAACGGAUUAUUUAGCCGACCGUGUUAUUUUCUCGAAUCGGAAGAUCUAUUACGUUCAAGUUUGUAUGUUCGUAUAAAAGCUUUUCGAUGUUACACCAAGAUGAUGGAAUUUUCUAAAUGAUUCUUUUUUUAAUUUCGAUAUUCCCGUUAUUUUAGAACAAAUAAAAUAUAAAAAUAAACAGAUUAAGAUCUUUCAAUUUGAUUAAUCAAUUACGAAUUUAAAUAAAUCUCUUUUUCUUUUUCUUCUUUUCUUCUUUUUAGGCCUGGGCUCCAUUUCAUUUAUUGAUUGAUUAUACAUUUAAAUUAUCGUUCCGUCUUUUCCAUUGGAUUACAAAUAUAUUUUCUUCAGAUUGAUGAUUCAUCUUUAACAAUUUUUUUGUUAAAGAAAAGUUUGUACUAUUUCUUUCUUACACUUAUUUCUUAAUAUCCUAUAUAUUGCAUUCCUUCCUGAUAUUUUCAUUUCUAUUCCUAUCCGAUAAAAUUCUUCUUGAAAUUUUUCAUUGAAUUUUCCUUUAUGUCGUUUUAAGAAGCCUAUUAUUUUUAAAUUUAUUUUAAUUGAAGAAAAUCUCGUGAGUACAUAAAAAAAAGUGCUUUACUAUUAACAAAUUGAUAGUUCGUUGUUCGGUGUUGAUAUUUCACGAAAUAUGGAAUGCAUUAUAAUCGUUUGAAAUGCGCGCCGCGAGCGAAAGCACACGUUUCGAAUGAUAACGAGGCGAAAACGAGUUACCCUUCUGUUACGCUGUACGGAAUAUAUACUAUAGUUUAUAAUCAUUUAUUGGGGAUGCGUAUUAUAGAGAAAAAAAUAUGAAGGGGAAGAUAGAGGGAGAGAGAGAGAGAGAGAGAGAGAGAGAGAGAGAGAGAGAGAGAGAGAGAGAGAGAGAGAGAGAGAAAGAGGAAGUGGAUUCAGAGUAUCUCGUCGAGUGGAUUCCUCACGUUUUCUCGACGUCGGUAGGGAAUAACGUAUCUCGCAGAGUAGAGCCGAUGUCGAUCGCUUUUCACUGGACCGAUAGAAAAUUCUCUCGCUGUACGACCGCAUAUCGAGUAGAACAAAUUGCAAACCCGAGGUCGCCUGAGGAAAAACUUAUUUAUAAGUUACGCACGAAGGGCGAAGUUCGUGCUUCUGCUCCUUGAAAAAGUGUGAAAUGGAGUAAUCGAAAACGUGAUGAGUAAAAAGCAAGCGAAUCAAAUAGUAGCGAUUGUACGAUGUGAUUAUUGAAGACUAUCUAUUGUCACACGUUCUGUUAUCAAGGAUUAUAAAAAAUAAAGAAUGUUCGUUAGUUUUUUUUCUCUCUUUCUUUUUAUUCUUUAUGAAAGUAAAGAUAAAAAGAAAAAUUAUUAGGACAGUCACGGGAAAAAAAAUAUUCGAUGUACGAAAAAUGAAGAACUUUCUGUGUUAUCCGUAAUUGGAUAAUAAUCUUGAAUCAGAGAACGAUUGUUCACCGGAAAGGUUAAUUAAAAUUCGUGGCUCGUGUCUCGCUAACACAACUAGCAUCUAUAGUGAAAUAGGAUUUCUCGUAGGUCUCGCAGACGAUCGAAAAUCGAAGAAGUCGAAUCGUGCAUUAAGCCGUGUGGUAUGCGGUCGAGAGAGCCAGAUCGAGAGAGCCGAUUCCCUAGUGAAGAGACGGAAAGCGAGAAAGAGAUAGAUAGAUAGAUAGAUAGAUAGACAGGUAGAUAGAUAGAUAGAUAGAGAAAGAGAGAGAGAAAGAGAGAGAAAAGAGAGAAAGAGGGAGAGAGAGUGAGAGAGAGAGAAUCGAUAAAGUCAAACUCGAUGGAGUCUCGAUAACUCGCUUAUCGAGGCCGGAUUAUUCGCUUUCAUCGAACGAGGACGGCGUUAUCGCUAUUCGACCGACAAAUCGCCACCGGCUCGAAAGUGCCGGCCAUAUAAUAUAAUUUCAAUAAUGAAGUGAUAAGAUGAAACUCAUGGGAAUCUUUAAGAAAACUAACGAGAUAUUACAAAGUUGUUAAUAAUAAACGCGAGUGUAUAAACGUGAGUGAAAGGAGAGGACAAAUAGAGACGAGAACAUUUACAGGAAAAAGAAGAAUGAAUCGACGAGAAGUACAAAGCCAUCGAGAGACGUCUAUAGAAAACAACAACGUCGCGUCAACUAGGUGAUCCUUUUCAACGAAGGAUGCAUUCUCCGGAUAAAGAAUAGAGUCUGAAUCAUUACCGAAGACAGGAUGUGUUGCUCGGAUGGUCCUGGUGGUACAAGACUGACGAGGUGCGGCGUGGUAUGUGGCCUCGCGGCAUUGGCAGCUCUAAGUACUGCCUUGUUGGGUCCAGCUUGGCUUCACACGGAAGAGAAGAUCCCGCUGUCGUAUAUAUCAAAUAACUCACCGAUUCUAGUCAGCGUACGCUUCAAGCUCGGCCUCUUCAGGGUCUGCCCGAAAAUCGUAAAGCCUUCCAACCUCACCAUUCAUAUCCCUACGAAAGCCUGUACCUACGUAAGGUAUAGCAGUUUGGAAGACGUAAAACCGCAAGAACUCGGAUUUUAUCAGUUAGAAUUCACUCCGACCGUCGUUUCGAAGAUAAGGAUCUCGGCACCGUUUCAAGUGAUCGCCGUUGUCUUGAUUCUCGCUGGUACUAUCUUCGCACUGAUCGGCCAUUGUUACUCGGAUCAUAGAACAUUGGUAGCCUGUGGUCUUUUUCUGCUGGGUGGUAAGUCG